CGCCCCCCCUGGCAACGGGGGGCGCUUCUAAUGCGCCAAUGCCCGGUCCCAAGUCCGGGAGGUAGAAAGCAGAGGGGAAG
rnacentral:ribozyme from 1 species